GGUAGAAGUGAAGACGAACGAGAAGGGUGAGUUUGAAGCUAAACUGCCGGUUUCAGUUGGUAGAAGUGUGGAGAAAAUCAAAGGGUGUUCAGUGAGAUUGAUUAGCAGCGGCCAGCCGUACUGUGCGGUGGCUGCCACCGCCACAUCGUCGGAGAUUCGUUUUAAGUCGAAGAAGGCGGGGACUCAUGUUUUCUCAGCUGGGUUUUUCACUUUUAAGCCCGAAUUGUGUAACCAGAAAGAUACUAUCGGAAAAGGUUUUCCACCGGCGCUUCCUGAUAUUCCUGCGCCGUUCUUGCCGCCGAUCGGUGGAGGUAUUUUACCUCCUCUUCCGGUGCCGGAUGUACCCAUGCCACCUCUAAUUCCCCCGCUACCACAGCUCCCUGGUAUUCCACUUCCACCUGUUACCCGCCAAAAAUCAUCGGAAUCCGAUAGAUUGGCCGAUCAAAAAAGUUUUGGUUUCCCGUUUCCACCGCCACUGUUCCCACCGCUGCCGUUUGUGCCAUCGCCGCCGUCAUUGAUUCCUCCCGUCAUUCCAACACCACCACCGUCACUGUUCCCUCCCCUCGUUCCAUCAACACCACCAUCAUUGUUUCCUCCCCUCGUUCCAUCACCACCAUCAUCGAUGUUUCCACCAUUGCCCUUUCCACCUGUACCAGGUUUGAUUCCAUCACCGCCGCCGCCACCACCGCCGGCGUUCCCAAUUCCUCUGCCUCCACUACCUCCGCUACCUCCGCUACCUCCAGUACCUCCGGUACCAGGAGUCCCACCGGCGAAAACCUCCCCUUGAUUAAACUCGUAUAUAUUUAAUAUUAUUACUGCAUAACCUUUUGAAGUAACCUUUCCAUACAUACGCGCGUAUUACAAUUAUGGGUAUUGUAAUUGUAGCAUGAAUAAAUCGUACAUGGUAAAAUGGUUGGGAUUCCUAUAAAUAGUUUAAAAUUUUUGAGAUCCAAUUAUGCGUUCUGAGUAUUGUUUAAUAGAUAGCAUU
rnacentral:lncRNA from 1 species